UACAGAGGGGUGCGAGCGUUUGUCCGGAAUCACUGGGGCGUAAAGGGGCGCGUAGGUGGCGUCGCAAGUCGAUGGUGAAAGCUCGGCGCUCAACGGCCCGAGUCGGCCCCUUGAUACUGCGAGGCUGGAGCACUGUAGAGGCAGAUGGAAUUCCGGGGUGUAGCGGUGGAAUGCGUAGAGAUCCGGAAGAACACCGGGUGGCGAAGGCGGUCGUGCUGGGCAGCUGAGCUGACACUUGGAGG
rnacentral:rRNA from 1 species